CCCAGCCCGGCUCUCCUGGUCCAGAGAUCUGUUUCACAGGAACCUGAAAACCUGCCAAAUCCAUCACCCAUGAUGAGCAGCAGGACCUAUUCUAUCAAGGAUCGGUAAUUGGGAAUAAGCUUCUCAUUUCAUCCUAAAGGAUUCUGUCACUCCACUGAAAUCUUAAGAGUCUCCAGUGCUUGUUAGGAAAGUGUGGAAGAUGAACCCCUUCUUCAUCCACAGAUCUGCCCUGCCGGUGUUUGACACCCGAGUCUGAAGCUGGCACCUCAUCCAUUCCCUAGUCCUGCCUUUUUGCUCCCCGGGCUCCCUUUCCAGUGCCACCAUCGCCCUCUUUGCACUUCCCUCGCACUCCAUCUCAGAAGCAGACUUCAAGGAGAUCAAAAGAGGCUGCUCCUCAAGGAAGAGCAGGGGUCCUGCGGCUAGAAAGCGGGGGGCAGUCUCUGUCCACACUCAAAAAUCAAAGAAUUAGCCCGACUUAAUCAAACAAAAUAUUACUAUGUUUUCCGAACAACUUAUUCAGCUCAGAGUCAAGCAACUGUGCCCAGAAUAAUGCUUCUGGAACAGAUGGAGAAGGCAUAUGAAGCCAUGCUGGGAAGUCAUGCUUCCAGAAAUGGUGUUCAUGUCAGCCGUGUUCUCCAACAGCAAGAACCAGAAGCGCCUACCACACCAUCCUCUGGGCCCCGCACAUGUGACCACCAGGACCUUUAACAUGUGGCUCUUCCUAAUAUGUAUUAGAAAUAUUACAUAUUUGUUAAUUUGGUGCCCACUUGUAGAGACCCCAUAUUUUUCACCUUAAGGCCAACAUGAACUAAGAGCUGAAGGAAGUGUUGUGGUGACCCAGCAACAGGAGUGAAGGUACAUUCUCUACUUUGGCAUGAUGCUUGUGUUGGAAAGGAUCCUGAG
rnacentral:lncRNA from 1 species